GUCCUGGCCCUAAACGAUGAAUGCUUGGUGUGGCGGGUAUCGAUCCCUGCCGUGCCGAAGCUAACGCAUUAAGCAUUCCGCCUGGGGAGUACGGUCGCAAGUCUGAAACUCAAAGGAAUUGACGGGGGCCCCGCACAAGCGGUGGAGCAUGUGGUUCAAUUCGAACGCAACGCGAAGAACCUUACCCAGGCUUGAACAGCGAGUGACCACUCCUGAAAGGGAGCUUCCGCAAGGACACUCGUAGAGGUGCUGCAUGGCUGUCGU
rnacentral:rRNA from 1 species